GGGUAUUUCCGUAAAAUAUUAGCCUUUCCUAUGGACUUCAGAAACUACUGUGAGAGUCAUAAUUUUCCAUGAAACUACUGUGAGAGACAGAAUUUUCUAUGAAAAAAAUUGUAAAAGGAAAUUUCUCCGUCUCUUUUCAUUCACUCGGACACCUACCUCCAUCUUCUUCUUCUUCUUAUCCAUUCACUCACCACAUCAAUCUCUAUUCUCUUUCAAUCUCUCAGAAAAACCAAAAUUCCCAAAUCCACUUCAUUUCUCCAUCAUUCACCUUUACCAUAUAUUACUUGACAUCAUUCGAUCUGAGAAGGAAAUAUACAAACCCUAGCCAUCAACUAAAACCCAGUAAACCAUAUCAAUCACUCUCCAUCCCUGACUCUCUCUCAAUCUCUCUUAUAAUCUCUCUAAUUAAACAACACAAAUAUCACCGAAGAAGUAUCAGAAAAAUAAGUAGAGGAUGUCGAUGAAGACGGAUAAAUCGUAAGGGAUGAUUUUGCUAUAUUCUGGGUUUUCAGUAAGAACAAAUGAUGACCACAAGUAUAGAGAUCUUGUGAAAUAAUGAAAAUGUCAUCGCAGAACUUGUUCUGCAACUUGCUCAUAGUCUUCGAGAGCAAUGAGAAUCUCAAUCUCACCGUAACGAAUUGUGAGAUUUUCUAGCAAGGAUCGGAGGCCAGAGGAAAGGAAUUUCGCAGACCUAUCAACUUUAGCCGAAUUAUAUUUGCAGGAAGCAACAAAAAACUGAAGGUGUAUUUAACAAAGUUUUACAGUCUGAGAAAGUGGGGAUUUGAUGAAUGAUGAUAGAUUGAACAUAUUUUGCAUUACUCGCUUUUAAGUUUUUGAUUGGGAUUCUAUUUGUUUCCGUGUUUAAUUUAUAGGAAGCGAAAGUUUUACAAUCUGAGGAGGUGAAGAUUUAAUGAAUGAUGAUAGAUUGAACAAAUUUUACAUCCAGGACCCCUCUGAAGAUGUUGUUGUUACUAUCUGUUGUAGGCUCCUGGCCGGACGAGAUUUGUGUUCAAUACAGCUGGAGCGAAGAACUGCACUUUCUUAACACACCAGAGUUCAGGUUGUUUGACAUGAGGACCGACCACCAACUCCAGGUUUAUCAACAACCUGGAGGUAGUGAUGUUCCUACUGUGACUUCUACUGCGUUCUUAUCAUCAGGCAGGCUCUUGUUUGCUGAUAUUCCAAUGGGGAUUGCUUCAUAUGGGAUACUUUAUUAGCGAAGGUAUGAAGUUGGUUGAUGAUGAGGGCCAGCUCUACGUCCUUAGGCCCAUUCUGAAAUGCAAUAUAUUGGGAGGGAGUGUCUAACGCCAGCUCCUAUAUAACCCGAGAGGAAGUCGUUUAACAUUAUAUCUCAAGCGUGAUGACAAAGGUUUUGCGCAUCCGGAAGGGGUCCAGAAACUUGUGAAGAACUACUCGUAGUUCGUAUCGUUCCCUAUAUAUACCUGGAAAGAAAAGAGAUACAAAAGAGGUUGAGGUUGAUGAGGAUCCAGCUGAAGUAAUAAGGAAGAUGAUAGCCAAAUCGAGCUAUCCCAUUGAAGUCGAAACUAAUGCUGGCAUUGAUAUGGUGGUGGAAAUUCCAAGAGGGAGAAGGUGGAAUUAAAGUUUGAUCAUAUAGAUGGGAAUGGAUGCAGCUAUGGACCUCCCUACGAGUGUCAACUGGCAAGUGUGCUCGGAAUUCAGGAUCUCAAUUUCUUCAUGAGUUAUGGACGGGAUAUUUUACAUAUGAAAAUUAGCUACAAUCAUAUGUUUUCUUUAAAUUUCAAUUUUAGUGGAUACUUGUAUGUGUUUAAGUGUGGUUCUGGUGCUUGCCUCAAUUCCUCUUUUUUUUUUGCUGUUAAUUGAUGUAGUCUUGGUUGGUUUUUGUUUACAGCUUAGGGAUGGAGCAAUGGACCUGAUUUGACCUAGGUUGUCAGAACAUGAAGGCAUAAAUGGUGAAGUCCUGCCUUAAACUUAGUGUUGAAAUUUUAUGGUUUGUUAAGCUUGUAAUAGGAUAUUGGUCAAGGUUUUCCAACUUAGUCUCCAACUUUUUCAGACUUGGAAUUUGCAGUAUUUUAGAAAGUUGAAUGUAAACGGAGUACACUUUUUAAUACAAAUUGAGUUUUAAAGUCAAUUUUAAUAUUAUUUAAUUUUGUUA